AACCUCCGCAAUGUGAGAAAUCGCGACGGGGGGAUCCCAAGUGCCAUUCUUAACGGGAUGGCUUUUCAUUAGUGUAAAGAGCUUUUGGAAUAAGAGCUGGGCAAGACCGGUGCCAGCCGCCGCGGUAACACCGGCAGCUCUAGUGGUAACAAUUUUUAUUGGGCCUAAAGCGUCCGUAGCCGGUUUAAUAAGUCUCUGGUGAAAUCCUGUAGCUUAACUGUGGGAAUUGCUGGAGAUACUAUUAGACUUGAGACCGGGAGAGGUUAGAGGUACUCCCAGGGUAGAGGUGAAAUUCUGUAAUCCUGGGAGGACCGCCUGUUGCGAAGGCGUCUAACUGGAACGGUUCUGACGGUGAGGGACGAAAGUUAGGGGCGCGAACCGGAUUAGAUACCCGGGUAGUCCUAACUGUAACGAUGCGGACUUGGUGUUGGGGUGGCUUUGAGCUGCUCCAGUGCCGAAGGGAAGCUGUUAAGUCCGCCGCCUGGGAAGUACGGUCGCAAGACUGAAACUUAAAGGAAGU
rnacentral:rRNA from 1 species